AUUCUGAGUUCAAAUUCGAAUUCAAUAGCAAAAUUUUUCAAACAAGAUUUUUUUUUUUAAAAAAAAAAACACAUAAACCUAAUGUUUUUUCUUUUUUUUUGAGAAAUAGGUAGCACGCUACCCGGUUCGUUUACUUCAAAAAAGAAUAAACUUAGCUAGAAAUGCGAAUCAACUAGAAUUCGAAUUUGGGUCUCGGGUACCAACCACCAAGCACUUUGCCACUUGCUCUAGGGACGGACAAUAUAAACCUAAUGUUAAAACAAGCAUAU
rnacentral:lncRNA from 1 species